CACGGUCGAAUCGAUACGUCGGUUGGAUUUUUCAUAGCAUUGGCUUUUUACUAGAAUUGCAAUGAUUGUGAGUUUCAGAUGAGUCCGUAUAGUGGAAGUGACUUUCCUACAAAAUAAUUAACAAAUGAACGCAAGGACAACGGAGAAUCUAUCGGAAGACAACCAGGAGAAAACCGUCAGAGGAAGCCACAGUGCAACAGGAAUUGAGAAAGGAAACUGAAGACAAAGUGGUGAAGUCUUACCGAUUGCUGGCUAGAAGAUUUGGGACAACCGGUCAAAUGCCUAAAGCAUAUUUGCAGAACAUGGUCAAACCAGCAGGGUGGAAUCCAAAAAAAAUGGCUCAUAAAGUAGAAGCAAAUGAACCGCAAAGAGGUUUCAAUCUUUAAUGCAACCGAAAAAGAAGAUCAUCUGACUGUUAAUGUUAUUUAGCUAAAUGAAACGUGAUGGUGUUGAAGGGCAAUGAUACAUACAGUAAACAUUCACUAACUGGGCGAGAAGAGAAGACCACUUAUCGACAUUCGCGUUUUAACUGGUCCGGCAUGUUAAACGUCAAAUAAAAUCGAGGGAAACUUCAAUGAAUUGUUUGAUUCUCUUAGUUCCUGUAAUUGGAUAAAUAAAAGGAUUCCAAUGGAAGUUUCGCAUUGAGUGCGACAACAGGUAUGACAUAUGAUUUGAGAAAAUUGUUUUUCUGUAGUUUAAUCAAUGUUUUUGUCGUGCGAAAAUAAUGUCAACUUUCAUAACAUUUAAAAUUACAUUCGAAUGCCCCUCACAGCAAAUCUUCCAUUUGAAUAUGGCGUCGAUU